UACGUAGGAGGCGAGCGUUGUCCGGAAUCACUGGGCGUAAAGCGCGUGUAGGCGGGAAGGCAAGUCGGGUGUGAAAGCCCUCAGCUCAACUGAGGAAGUGCGCCCGAAACUGCUGAGCUUGAGUACCGGAGAGGAUGGUGGAAUUCCCGAAGUAGAGGUGAAAUUCGUAGAUAUCGGGAGGAGCACCGGUGGCGAAGGCGACCAUCUGGACGGAUACUGACGCUGAGACGCGAAAGCGUGGGUAGCAAACAGG
rnacentral:rRNA from 1 species